rfam:Ipomoea nil DNA, scaffold: scaffold3245, cultivar: Tokyo-kokei standard.
ACCAUCUUAGCUCAGUGGUAGAGUGUGUGGCUUUAAACCACGUGGUCGUGGGUUUGAUCCCCACAGAUGGUG